rnacentral:rRNA from 1 species
AUACGUAAGGACCAAGCGUUAUCCGGAAUUAUUGGGUGUAAAGCGUCCGCAGGUGGUGUAGAAAGUCGGUUAUUAAAUACCAAAGCUCAACUUUGGUGCUGUAAUCGAAACUUCUAUACUAGAGGAUGGGAGAGGUAUAUGGAAUUGUGCAAGUAGGGGUAAAAUCCGUAGAUAUGCACAGGAACACCAAAAGCGAAGGCAGUAUACUGGACCAUUCCUGACACUCAGGGACGAAAGCGUGGGGAGCGAAACGGAUUAGAAACCCUAGUAGUCC